GAGAGAGAGAGAGAGAAACUUCAGAUGCUUUUACAAGAAACAAAAAUGUAAAUGACCUUAAAAAGAAAAUUUUGAUUGUUUUAAUCAAACAUGCCAUUGCAUGCUUCUCUCAAAAACAAUUGCAACAAGAAUGCCAAAUUGACCCCUAAAUCAUCAGCCAAUUCAGAAGAUUCACAAGACCAUGAACAAAGCUAGGAGCAUAAGAAAAGUCUGUAAUGCAAUGUAAUGAGUAAGCAGGGCAGUUAACAUUUACUCAGUUCCACGACAUCAUCCCUCAGAACUUUUAUAAUGAGUUGAAAUAUGCCAAAUAACACAGUUCAACUGAAACUGAACACCUAAAAUCUCCUGUUCCUUGAAUUUCUGGUAGAUUUAGUUUCACUCACAGAAGAAAAUUAGCAAUUAGGAUGCUUAAAGCUAAAAUUAUUAAGAAUUAAAACUUUUUCUCUCAACAUUUGCUUUAGAAAGAGUAGACUGUUUUAGACUUUGAUGGCAGGGUAAUGAGAAUGCAGAGUAUUCUCUCAAUAAUCAACUCUUAAUAAGCAUCAAGAACACAAUACAACUUAGGGAACUAUAUUUGAAGAAAGAAAACCUACAUCACUACAUUAAGCACCAUGGUUCACAAAACUUAAAUUACUAUAGAGCCAACACUAGAAACCUGAAAAUGUGGACAUGCCAAAAGCUCUUACUGCACAAACUAGUAAUAGUGUCUAACAAACAAAUCUGCAGUUCACAGUUUUCUAGUUUAUUUGUAUUGAGGCAGAAAACUGUAUCAUGAAUCAAAACUAGAACAUAGGAGUGGAACAUUUGCCAACAAAAAGAAUACUU
rnacentral:misc_RNA from 1 species